rnacentral:rRNA from 1 species
AACGAACGCUGGCGGCAGGCUUAACACAUGCAAGUCGAGCGCACCGCAAGGUGAGCGGCAGACGGGUGAGUAACGCGUGGGAAUCUACCCAACCCUACGGAAUAACCCAGGGAAACUUGGACUAAUACCGUAUACGCCCUUUUGGGGAAAGAUUUAUCGGGGAUGGAUGAGCCCGCGUUGGAUUAGCUAGUUGGUGGGGUAAAGGCCUACCAAGGCGACGAUCCAUAGCUGGUCUGAGAGGAUGAUCAGCCACAUUGGGACUGAGACACGGCCCUAACUCCUACGGGAGGCAGCAGUGGGGAAUAUUGGACAAUGGGCGCAAGCCUGAUCCAGCCAUGCCGCGUGAGUGAUGAAGGCCUUAGGGUUGUAAAGCUCUUUCAGUAGGGAAGAUAAUGACGGUACCUACAGAAGAAGCCCCGGCUAACUUCGUG